rnacentral:rRNA from 1 species
UCUUGGUCAAUUAGAGGAAGUAAAAGUCGUAACAAGGUUUCCGUAGGUGAACCUGCGGAAGGAUCAUUAUCGAAAUGGAAAGUCGAGGAGGCGAGGGGGGGAGGACUGUCGCCGGCCCGGAAGGGCACGAGCACGUCCCUCCCCAAACCUUCGAGGCGUCGCCUCUCUCACACCGUGUGCACCCGCUGUAGGUCCUUCGGGACCUAUGUCUCCGUUUAAACCAGCAUGUCUACAGAAUGCGUUCGUCGGUCGCCGACCGGCAAACGAAAUACAACUUUCAGCAAUGGAUCUCUUGGCUCUCGCAUCGAUGAAGAACGCAGCGAAUCGCGAUAAGUAAUGUGAAUUGCAGAUUUUCCGUGAAUCAUCGAAUCUUUGAACGCACCUUGCGCUCCUCGGUAUUCCGAGGAGCAUGCCUGUUUGAGUGUCAUCGAAACCUCGAAUCGAAGCUUCGACCCUCGGGUCGAGGCCUCGGUUUGGAACUGGGGGCUUGCCGGCGCGAGUCGGCUCUCCUCAAAAGCAUUAGCCGUGGGGCGCGAGCCUUGCAUGGCACGGCCUCCUCGACGUCGUAACGAUCGUCGUGGGCUGGAAGUGCAGGAAUCGAGUCGUCCCAUGCUCUCCAACUCUGCGAGCCCGUGUGGCCGCGUGCACGAAAGCUUGACCUCAAAUCAGGUAGGACUACCCGCUGAACUUAAGCAUAUCAUAAGGCGGAGGA